GUGUAGCUCUUCGAUGUUUGCGAAUAAUUCUCCGCGGCCAUGGUCGCUCGAAUUUUCGCUAGGUGUUGCAUGCGAAGAUAUCGAUAGGCGAGACCCUAGAAGCGCUGAGAGGAAGGUAUUUUUUUGAACAGAGUGGCAGGGCCAAAAUUUAAGGGGAAAGGUUAGCGAAGAGUGGCCACCUGGUCCUGGAGAGUUAGAGUUCCUAGUUCAAGGGCGAUAGAAGAGAGAGCGAUGGGGAUCGGCAGCCGGGAGCAUUAAACAGAACAUCCAAGAGGGGGUUCAGAAAGAAAAAUUCCCGCAACGGAGGAACAUGCGCGCCGGGCACAGUGACUUAGCGAUUUUUUUUUGUUCUGAAAGAAAAAGGGAUCCAGAUCAGGGAAAGACCAGGAACCAGGACCAGGAAGCAUAAGAGGAAUAGGUCACAGCUCCGCCACCCUGGCUUGUUUUUCCUGCUGGUCUCGAAGGAUCAGACCUGGCCACGUAGUGCGGGACCCUCGCCCACUUAGGGAGAAGAAAAAAAGCACAUCAACUUAUUUACUCCCAUUAAUUAUUUUUGUUAGACGUCUCCAGUUAUAAGUAUAUGUAAUUUAAGUCCGUCCAUAUUUAUUAUAUAUAUGUAACCUAUUUAUUUAUAUUUAUUAUAUUAUUUAUUCCUAUUAAUCUAAUUAUUUAUUAACCGCCAGUAGUACUAAGAUAAGGGGGGGAUGAAUAGGCAGGCCUAGCUUAGAAAUGAUAUCGUGUGAAAAUAGGAAAUGAAGUGAAGAUUAUAACGAAGAAAUGAAUUGUUAAGCGUUUCGUAUGGGGGGAAGAGGAGCCACAGCAACGAGAGGGUAAGGCUUUUGCCAAUGGCAGGGAGAUCCGGGACGUGUGAUUCAGAUCUCAGGUAGGGUGGGUGCGUCGGGGGUAAAACAUCGACACCUCGUCCUGGUCCAAGUCUGUAUUGAGGGAAGACUGUAAUGGUGUUUGUCGAGUAGAGUCCGUUUCUUUCAGUUUUUUUUCUUGUCGGUUAUUUUUGUUGUUACAUUUUGUUCGAGAUGUCCAAUCAGUUGGUUGUUGUGCGACCUGAGGGCUUAGGAAGUAUCCAGCCCUGGGAUGACUGGCUAGCCGGCCUUGCCCCAAAGAAAAACAAAGGUUCGUAACAAUAAUGGCGCCCAAUCUGAGACAGGGAAGUGGACUCGCAGUCCUGGCUCGACCAUCAAAGAGGGAGAGUACGGAUGCGAAUCAUA